rnacentral:rRNA from 1 species
UACGGAGGAUGCAAGCGUUAUCCGGAAUGAUUGGGCGUAAAGCGUCCGCAGGUGGCUAUGUAAGUCUGCUGUUAAAGGGUCUGGCUCAACCAGAUAAAGGCAGUGGAAACUACAUGGCUAGAGUGCGUUCGGGGCAGAGGGAAUUCCUGGUGUAGCGGUGAAAUGCGUAGAGAUCAGGAAGAACACCGGUGGCGAAAGCGCUCUGCUAGGCCGCAACUGACACUGAGGGACGAAAGCUAGGGGAGCGAAUGGG